rnacentral:rRNA from 1 species
AUUGAACGCUGGCGGCAGGCCUAACACAUGCAAGUCGAACGGUAACAGGAAGAAGCUUGCUUCUUUGCUGACGAGUGGCGGACGGGUGAGUAAUGUCUGGGAAACUGCCUGAUGGAGGGGGAUAACUACUGGAAACGGUAGCUAAUACCGCAUAACGUCGCAAGACCAAAGAGGGGGACCUUCGGGCCUCUUGCCAUCGGAUGUGCCCAGAUGGGAUUAGCUAGUAGGUGGGGUAACGGCUCACCUAGGCGACGAUCCCUAGCUGGUCUGAGAGGAUGACAAGCCACCAUGGAACUGAGAAACGGCCCAAGCCCUAACGGGGGGCAGAGGGGGGGAAUUUUGAACAUGGGGGGCAACCCUGAGGCAGCCAGGCCGGGGGUAUGAAGAAGGCCUUCGGGUGGUAAAGUCCUUUCAGGGGGGAGGAAGGGAGAAAAGUUAAACCCUUGGCUCAUUGACGUUACCCGAAGAAGAAGCACCGGCUAACUCCGG